rnacentral:lncRNA from 1 species
UCCUUUAUGAAACGAGAAAAGAUGGAUUUCUAUCUCACUUUCUCCUUUCUAGUUCUUUUAUUCCAAAUAGGUUGUAAGGUUAAGAAAAAACUACAUGAAUCUCUUCUUUAUUGCCCAUAUAUUCCAACCAAGUUACUCAAAAAAUGCUCCAAUUUAGUUAUCCCCUCCUCUCUUUUUUCCUUAUCUAAAUUGACACUAUAGCAGAUCUUCGGAGUUGCCCGAUGAUCAUUAAGGAUGUAAUUUAACUUUGCUAAAUAUGAAUUUCAACUAAUAAUGAAUUCUCAUCAAACAACUUUGGAAUCUUUACGUAGCUUCAUUGGCUAGUGAUAGGCCGCAAAUAAAUUUAAUUUUUGCCUUGAUUUCUAGAUAUCUAAUAAUGAAUUAAGUUUAAAGUGAAUCUUAGAUGCAUUGUUUUCUAUAGCAAUAGCUUGCAUGGC